GUCCCUAUAGUGCAAUGGCCAGCACGUUGGACUUCUAAUCCAAAAGUCGUGGGUUCGAAUCCUACCUGGGACG